rnacentral:rRNA from 2 species
AUGGGCGCAAGCCUGAUGGAGCAACACCGCGUGAGUGAAGAAGGGUUUCGGCUCGUAAAACUCUGUUGUUGGAGAAGAACGUGCGUAAGAGUAACUGUUUACGCAGUGACGGUAUCCAACCAGAAAGUCACGGCUAACUACGUGCCAGCAGCCGCGGUAAUACGUAGGUGGCAAGCGUUAUCCGGAUUUAUUGGGCGUAAAGCGAGCGCAGGCGGUUGCUUAGGUCUGAUGUGAAAGCCUUCGGCUUAACCGAAGAAGUGCAUCGGAAACCGGGCGACUUGAGUGCAGAAGAGGACAGUGGAACUCCAUGUGUAGCGGUGGAAUGCGUAGAUAUAUGGAAGAACACCAGUGGCGAAGGCGGCUGUCUGGUCUGCAACUGACGCUGAGGCUCGAAAGCAUGGGUAGCGAACAGGAUUAGAUACCCUGGUAGUCCAUACCGUAAACGAUGAGUGCUAGGUGUUGGAGGGUUUCCGCCCUUCAGUGCCGAAGCUAACGCAUUAAGCACUCAGCCUGGGGAGUACGACCGCAAGGUUGAAACUCAAAGGAAUUGACGGGGGCCCGCACAAGCGGUGGAGCAUGUGGUUUAAUUCGAAGCUACGCGAAGAACCUUACCAGGUCUUGACAUCUUGCGCCCAACCUCAGAGAUGAGGCGUUCC